rnacentral:rRNA from 1 species
AAACCGUGCUGCAGGCCUAACACAUGCAAGUCGAGCGCUCACUUCGGUGGGAGCGGCGGACGGGUUAGUAACGCGUGGGAACGUGCCCAGAUCUAAGGAAUAGCCACUGGAAACGGUGAGUAAUACCUUAUACGCCCUUCGGGGGAAAGAUUUAUCGGAUUUGGAUCGGCCCGCGUUAGAUUAGAUAGUUGGUGGGGUAAUGGCCUACCAAGUCUACGAUCUAUAGCUGGUUUUAGAGGAUGAUCAGCAACACUGGGACUGAGACACGGCCCAGACUCCUACGGGAGGCAGCAGUGGGGAAUCUUGGACAAUGGGGGCAACCCUGAUCCAGCCAUGCCGCGUGAGUGAUGAAGGCCUUAGGGUCGUAAAGCUCUUUCGCCAGGGAUGAUAAUGACAGUACCUGGUAAAGAAACCCCGGCUAACUCCGUGCCAGCAGCCGCGGUAAUACGGAGGGGGUUAGCGUUGUUCGGAAUUACUGGGCGUAAAGCGCGCGUAGGCGGAUUGGAAAGUUGGGGGUGAAAUCCCGGGGCUCAACCCCGGAACUGCCUCCAAAACUAUCAGUCUAGAGUUCGAGAGAGGUGAGUGGAAUUCCGAGUGUAGAGGUGAAAUUCGUAGAUAUUCGGAGGAACACCAGUGGCGAAGGCGGCUCACUGGCUCGAUACUGACGCUGAGGUGCGAAAGUGUGGGGAGCAAACAGGAUUAGAUACCCUGGUAGUCCACACCGUAAACGAUGAAUGCCAGUCGUCGGCAAGCAUGCUUGUCGGUGACACACCUAACGGAUUAAGCAUUCCGCCUGGGGAGUACGGUCGCAAGAUUAAAACUCAAGGAAUUGACGG